rnacentral:sRNA from 1 species
AGUAGAGAGCAGGAAUAAAAACUGUGGGACCCUGGAGUCAUGCAUCAGGUAGAGACAUACUCAAGAGGCUAUAAUUGAGAGAUGGAGAAACACAUUACGUAUGCAGUAUAAGAAGAGUUCAGGAUAUGCUACUGUAGUGGAAACCCAAUCUCUUGCUGCAUGAGACGAGAGGGGGAAAUUAUUUCCUAAGCUGGCGAGUGGACAGACACCUUGCUUGACAUGAACCAAGUCUCAGAGAAAGUCCUAAGGCUAAGAGUGAGGCCAAUGAGAAGUGAGUCUACAAGGUAUGUACUCAGACUGUGCCGGUGUUAGAAGUAAGCAGCAGACAGCUUUUACUAAGUGGAGGUCCUUGGAGAUAGGGGUGUAACAUGUAGUCAUAGGUGAGAGAAGGCCUUCUCUCUUUCACUUUCUCAGAAGGAUGUGGGCUCUGAUUGAGAGGGUUGUCAGAGAGAACUGCACCCCCUCUAGUCAGGAAACCAUGCAACAAGGUUUGAUUGCUUUAAAUAGCUUUAUUAUUAUAGAUAAGGAGGCAAACACAUUCUCAUUUAUAGGUGCAUUAGUGGUUAUAAAAUGCCUUUCUAUACCUUCCUCAUAAAAUGAUUGAACACUUCUGACUCAAAAUAGUGAGAAAAUGCCUUGCUUUUCUGUGUUAUUAUCAUGAUUCUCCCCAGACCCCUCUCAGACAGGGAGAAGCUGGACUUUAGUUUCAGUAACAAGAUAAAGACAGCUUGUUUCUUUAAGAGUACAAUUAAUACAUGUUAUUAAUCAUCACACAGAAAAGUAAGGGAAAAAAGUAUAACUCCAUAGUGUGGUGAAUUAGUGACUUUGGAAUGCCUGACCCUGAACAGGACUUCUAGAUCAUGACCUCACAAGGCUCAGAGAACACUGCAAAUGAAGAGCAUAAAUGAUAUAGGAGACAGGUUAAAGAGGCGUGCUGUGAAACAAUCUUCUGGACAAAACAAGGCUGAUACGUUCGUGAACUUACCACAGUUGUGGUUACCUACAUGAGACUUAUACAGGAUUGGACCUGUCACCAUUUCAAGAUGUAUGGAAAUUGACUGACUCCUCUCAGUUCAUGGGGCUUAGCCAUCCCAGGACCUAUACUCUGUCUCCUCUUCCCUCAAGUCUGCUUUGAAAGGAACUUAGGGAAACUCAGAAAAACCUGCUGUGUUUGUCUCACGCUUGAGUUCUGAUUUUCCCAUUAAAAUGGUUGUUACCAACAACCCAUUUCUUUUCUUUCUUUUUUUUUUUAACUAUUAUUUUGGCUUCCAGAAAAUAUCCUUCAUAAACAAUUCCCAACCUAUCUGUGAUUUUGGAAAAAACAGCAGAACAACUGACACGUGAGUUUGGACAAUUUCAAAGCAAACAGAACCUUGAAAGAUAAAAUUCACAAGGAACUUCCUAAGCCUCAUACAGGUCAAAAUGGAGCUUGCAGAGUUGAGCUGUGAUUCUACUGUCUCCUUCCCCUCUCUUCAGAGUCCUUCGAGGAGAUAAGGCACAGAAGAUAAGGAUCCACACCUCCUAGUGGUUGAUGCUCCAUGGCAGAAGACUCCCUUCCAUGGCAACUAUCAAUUUCAAAAUGUAGUGCAGCUAUGUUUCAUUCCUGGGCUCUAGUGAGCCUUCUGCCUCAGCAUUCCUAACAGCUGACUUUAUGGGGAUGUACCAUCCAGCCCAACUUUAUGCCUUGUUCUAAUUAGAAAAGUCUCCAUAAAGAUUCAAGCAUUUCUACCAUUUCAACUCAAAGUGAACACCAUGAGGCUCAGUAAUCUUCAGCAAUAAAACAGAAGGUGGAAGCCUUCACAAGGU